rnacentral:rRNA from 1 species
GCUAGGACGAACGCUGGCGGCGUGCCUUAACACAUGCAAGUCGAACGGAGUUAAUGAUUUCGGUUGUUAACUUAGUGGCGAACGGGUGAGUAACGCGUGAACAACCUGACCCAAAGAGGGGGAUAACAUUUGGAAACAGAUGCUAAUACCGCAUAAGACCACAACGUCACAUGGCGAAGGGGUCAAAGGAGCAAUCCGCUUUGGGAGGGGUUCGCGUCCCAUUAGGUAGAUGGCGGGGUAACGGCCCACCAAGCCGACGAUCCAUAGCCGACCUGAGAGGGUGACCGGCCACAUUGGGACUGAGACACGGCCCAAACUCCUACGGGAGGCAGCAGUGGGGAAUAUUGCACAAUGGGGGAAACCCUGAUGCAGCGACGCCGCGUGAGUGAAGAAGUAUUUCGGUAUGUAAAGCUCUAUCAGCAGGGAAGAAAAUGACGGUACCUGACUAAGAAGCCCCGGCUAACUACGUGCCAGCCGCAGC